rnacentral:rRNA from 1 species
GCGUGGGAAUAUGCCCUUCACUAUGGAAUAGCCUCGGGAAACUGAGAGUAAUACCAUAUACGCCCUCCGGAAGAAAGAUUUAUCGGUGAAGGAUUAGCCCGCGUUAGAUUAGAUAGUUGGUGGGGUAAUGGCCUACCAAGUCUACGAUCUAUAGCUGGUUUGAGAGGAUGAUCAGCAACACUGGGACUGAGACACGGCCCAGACUCCUACGGGAGGCAGCAGUGGGGAAUAUUGCACAAUGGGGGAAACCCUGAUGCAGCCAUGCCGCGUGUGUGAAGAAGGCCUUCGGGUUGUAAAGCA